ensembl:lncRNA
AAGAUGUGUUAAUUUGCUAGCUGCAGGUUUUUUCUUUCAUUCAAGUACCAUCACUGCAAGUGGUCGACCAGAGCACUAUAUGUAACUGUAGCGGUGUAAUAAGCUAUCAGUGGAGCGUAUAACCUCGGAGAGACGUUAUAUUACCGUGGAAAGAGUAUAACAGAUAACAGCUAGCUGUUAAGACUUAGAUACUAGUGCACAUGUGGUUUUUGCUAAGAAGUUAGCGAACAGCCAACUGGAGGAGCAGAGACUGUGUUUGUCACGGAGAAAAGAGCUGUGGACUUCGCGGAUGACUGUCUCCAUUUUGUUUGAGGCUUCUACGCACUCCAGCUACAUUCAGGCCUGCAACGGGGAACUUGGGUUUUCAGAAGAACCUGUAGCAUUUUUAAACAGACUUGAAGAGAAGAGGUUCUUCUACAGAGAUUUAAGGACAUCACAGUUACUUACAUUCAGAGGAAACAGACUAAAGAAGCUCCACCACAUCCUGCAUAUAAACAGCCUGAGAGACUCUCCUCGUCCAUCUGCAUACAUCUGCUUCACACACACACACUGA